AAUGCAGCGUGUGUGAAGAAGGCCUGCGGGUUGUAAAGCACUUUCAGUAGGGAAGAAAAGCUUAGGGUUAAUACCCGUGAGUCUUGACGUUACCUACAGAAGAAGCACCGGCUAACUCCGUGCCAGCAGCCGCGGUAAUACGGAGGGUGCAAGCGUUAAUCGGAAUUACUGGGCGUAAAGCGCGCGUAAGCGGCUUGGUAAGUCGGAUGUGAAAGCCCCGGGCUUAACCUGGGAAUUGCAUUCGAUACUGCCUGGCUAUAGUAUGGUAGAGGGAAGUGGAAUUUCCGGUGUAGCGGUGAAAUGCGUAGAUAUCGGAAGGAACACCAGUGGCGAAGGCGACUUCCUGAGACAAUACUGACGCUCAGGUGCGAAAGCGUGGGGAGCACACAGGAUUAGAUACCCUGGUAGUCC
rnacentral:rRNA from 1 species